UACGGAGGGUGCGAGCGUUGUUCGGAAUCAUUGGGCGUAAAGGGCGUGUAGGUGGUCUGUUAAGUCAUGUGUGAAAGCCCCGAGCUUAACUUGGGAAGUGCUUUUGAUACUGUAGAGCUUGAAUGUGGGAGAGGAUCGUGGAAUUCCAGGUGUAGUGGUGAAAUACGUAGAUAUCUGGAGGAACACCGGUGGCGAAGGCGGCGAUCUGGCCCAACAUUGACACUGAGACCCGAAAGCGUGGGGAUCAAACAGG
rnacentral:rRNA from 1 species